rnacentral:rRNA from 1 species
GACGCUGGCGGCGUGCUUAACACAUGCAAGUCGAACGAUGAAGCUGGAGCUUGCUCCGGUGGAUUAGUGGCGAACGGGUGAGUAACACGUGAGCAAUCUGCCCUUGACUCUGGGAUAACUGCGGGAAACUGUAGCUAAUACCGGAUAUUUUCCCUGGUGGGCAUCCACUGGGGAAGAAAGAAUUUCGGUCAAGGAUGAGCUCGCGACCUAUCAGCUAGUUGGUGAGGUAAUGGCUCACCAAGGCGACGACGGGUAGCCGGCCUGAGAGGGUGACCGGCCACACUGGAACUGAGACACGGUCCAGACUCCUACGGGAGGCAGCAGUGGGGAAUAUUGCACAAUGGGCGAAAGCCUGAUGCAGCAACGCCGCGUGAGGGACGAAGGCCUUCGGGUUGUAAACCUCUUUUAGCAGGGAAGAAGCGAAAGUGACGGUACCUGCAGAAAAAGCACCGGCUAACUACGUG